GACAGAGGUGGCAAGCGUUGUUCGGAUUUAUUGGGCGUAAAGCGAACGCAGGUGGUUUGGUAAGUCAGGAGUGAAAGUCCGCAGCUUAACUGCGGCACUGCCUUUGAUACUGCCUUUCUUGAGUGCAUGAGGGGGAAGCGGAAUUCCGAGUGUAGAGGUGAAAUUCGUAGAUAUUCGGAGGAACACCGGUGGCGAAGGCGGCUUCCUGGCAUGUAACUGACACUGAGGUGCGAAAGCGUGGGGAGCAAACAGGAUUAGAAACCCCUGUAGU
rnacentral:rRNA from 1 species